ACAGUUUCUGCGGUAAUGCUAAGGCCCGCGCCCCUCAGCUGCCAGCGCUGCGUGUUUUAGUAGCUGCAGGGAGGAAGAAUCGAGAUGGCUUCAGCAAAGCCCUCCACUUUGCUUGGGAGAAGGGGGCGUUUGUGGGCAGGGCAUUGCAUGGGAAACUGCAAUGUGCACUUGUUUGACCUGGAUCCCUGGUUCAAAUGCAUCCCCUGGUCCCUGCAGGUCCGGGGUGGGGCUGGAGCUUUUGUGUGUCUCAUCAGCUCCCAGGUGAGGCGUGAGGGCGCAGGGACGAGCACAGAGGAGGUCGGGAGCCCCGGGCUGGUGGGGGCGGCUUGCCCAGGUCUCGCUGGGCAGCUCGGAGCAGGUCCUGCCACCAAUCUAGGGGUCCAGUCUCAAGAUGUCCCAGGUUGUGGUAAGGACCCGAAAGGGAGGUGCACCGGCUUCUAGCCCAGGGCAGACCCUGUCAGGGGGGCUUCUAGGAGCGACGGGGAUGCCAGCGUCCGCCCUUCCAGCCCUGCUGGGAAAGCGUCACCGUGUUCUGAAGAAAGCAUCCUUUUUGUUCAUUCCAGAAACAUUUAUCGAGUGCCUAUGGCAUGUCAGGCACAGUUCAAGUUCUGAGGAUACAGAGUAAACAACAGGCAACAUCACGCCUCCUCGAGCUUCUGUUCUACUGGGAGUCAGGGUAGGAAGAGACGACAACAAGGCCCUCUUCACCUGCCAGCUGGGCAACAGCAGUUACUCUCAUUGGAGACCCUUUCCCUUCGCCACUUCCCAGGCUACUCCAGACUGAAUGCAUUCAGGGAGUCACCUCCCAGGUCAAAACCUGCUGUGAUACCAUCACCCUGCAGCACAGACCACAGUCCCAAGCCUCCCAUUCUUGACUCUAACACCAGCCCAGCCUGACCUGCUGCAGGGUGUGGCCUGUGACCACAUCUGUGCUCCGUCCACGCUGCUUCGUCCAGCCUCCCACGCCGAUCCCCAGAGUAGCUCCCCGGGAUGCUCUCUCCUCAUCACUGCAUCUGCCGCCCGCCCAGGCCCUCUGACUUUACCCUCCCGCAGGCCCCUCCCGUCUGAGGUGCUCUGGAAUGCCUGUGGUGUGAUUGUGCAUGAACUUUUACGUGCCUGCGUCCAUGCUCGAGAGCGGUCUUGCCUGAACCACCUUGUCUCAAUAAUCAGCAUGAAACUCCUCAAAAGAAACAGAGAGGCCCCUCAGAACAUCACGGAAAAGACGAUGGCUCCAAAACAGCUAGAUUCUAAUCCCAGCUCUGCUGCGGGGCGCGGCCUCGGGCACACCUGUGCUCCGUGCAUGUGACGUGACUCUCAAAAGCAUCCAUUUCCUCAUCUGGAAAACGGGACAGUUCCUGGACUCUGCGCACCUGGAAGUGACCAUGAGGGUCAAAUGUUUCUCAAACUGCAAAUGCUUUUCAGAUGCUGGCGCCGUGACCAAAGACCUGGCUCUUACAUCUGCUCUGUUUUCAUGGGAC
rnacentral:lncRNA from 1 species